UACGGAGGGGGCUAGCGUUGUUCGGAAUUACUGGGCGUAAAGCGCACGUAGGCGGCUUUGUAAGUUAGAGGUGAAAGCCCGGGGCUCAACUCCGGAAUUGCCUUUAAGACUGCAUCGCUAGAAUUGUGGAGAGGUAAGUGGAAUUCCGAGUGUAGAGGUGAAAUUCGUAGAUAUUGGGAAGAACACCAGUGGCGAAGGCGGCUCACUGGCUCGUAACUGACGCUCAGGCGCGACAGCGUGGGGAUCAAACAGG
rnacentral:rRNA from 1 species